rnacentral:misc_RNA from 1 species
AAAAAAAAUAAAAUGCAAUCAUGACCUCUCACGCACUUAAUACUUAGAACCCUUGAGCAGAGUUCAACAGAGAAUUAAGGCCCUACUUGUAUACUAGGAAUACGAAUUAAAAACCAGGAAUCAAUACUUCAAUUCCACUUCCCAGGCAUUUGGCAAUCUAUUAUUCAUAAAAAAAGGAAGAGGAAACUAAAAGAGAGGGAGGAGUUGUUGUGGGGGGGGGGGCCGCCGGGGCGG